rnacentral:pre_miRNA from 1 species
AACCUACUCCCUCCGUCCGAAAAUACUUGUCAUCAAAAUAAAUAAAAAGAGAUGUAUCUCAAACUAAAAUACAUCUAGAUACAUCCCCUUUUAUCCAUUUUAAUGACAAGUAUUUCCGGACAGAGGGAGUAGGCA